rnacentral:rRNA from 1 species
UACGUAGGUGGCAAGCGUUGUCCGGAUUUAUUGGGUUUAAAGGGUGCGUAGGCGGCCCUGUAAGUCAGUGCUGAAAUAUCCCGGCUUAACCGGGAGGGUGGCAUUGAUACUGCAGGGCUUGAGUGAAGUCGAGGUAGGCGGAAUUGACGGUGUAGCGGUGAAAUGCUUAGAUAUCGUCAAGAACACCGAUAGUGAAGACAGCUUACUAGGCUUAUACUGACGCUGAGGCACGAGAGUGUGGGGAUCAAACAGG